rnacentral:rRNA from 1 species
UACGUAGGGACCAAGCGUUGUUCGGAUUUACUGGGCGUAAAGGGCGCGUAGGCGGCAAUUCAAGUCAGCUGUGAAAUCUCCGGGCUUAACUCGGAACGGUCAGCUGAUACUGCUUUGCUAGAGUGCAGAAGGGGCAAUCGGAAUUCUCGGUGUAGAGGUGAAAUUCGUAGAUAUCGAGAGGAACACCGGUGGCGAAGGCGGCUACCUGGACAGUGACUGACGCUGGAGACGCGAAAGCGUGGGGAGCAAACAGG